rnacentral:lncRNA from 1 species
CGCCUUUUAAUUGUUAAUUGCAUGCUAUAUGAUGUUGCUCAAAUGAACAUGUUUUUCAAAAUAAAUCCUUCACAAGGUCCAUGUUAAACGUUUUGACGGCCCAGUGUGCACGAUGCUCUAACUCGACGGGAAGAUGGCAUGGCUUCCCAUAGAUAAGCCGAAAAGGUGACAUCCCAAUGGGGGUUUUGUAGGCAGUGCGAUACGCCCACAAUGCAUCGUUUA